UUGCCUAUAGUUCAGUUGGUAGAGUAUGAGGUUUUAACCUUGGUGUCAUGGGUUUGAGCCCCACAAUGGGCAAA